rnacentral:misc_RNA from 1 species
CAGAGUUCAUGCCCUAACGGGUAGAUCUCCCACCCUAUGUAUUUAUACCUUUGUUGCUUUGGUGGGCCGCCAGGCUUCGGCCAGGCUACCGGCUUCGGCUGGUAAGCGCCCGCCAGAGGACCCAAAACUCUGAAUGUUAAUGUCGUCUGAGUACUAUAUAAUAGUUA